rnacentral:rRNA from 1 species
CCUACGGGAGGCAGCAGUGGGGAAUUUUGCACAAUGGGGGAAACCCUGAUGCAGCGACGCCGCGUGAGUGAAGAAGUAUCUCGGUACGUAAAGCUCUAUCAGCAGGGAAGAAAAUGACGGUACCUGACUAAGAAGCCCCGGCUAACUACGUGCCAGCAGCCGCGGUAAUACGUAGGGGGCAAGCGUUAUCCGGAUUUACUGGGGGUAAAGGGAGCGUAGACGGCAGCACAAGUCUGGAGUGAAAUCCCGGGGCUUAACCCCGGAACUGCUUUGGAAACUGUGCGGCUGGAGUGCAGGAGGGGUAAGCGGAAUUCCAAGUGUAGCGGUGAAAUGCGCAGAGAUAAGGAGGAACACCAGUGGCGAAGGCGGCUUACUGGACUGUAACUGACGUUGAGGCUCGAAAGCGUGGGGAGCAAACAGGAUUAGAUACCCCAGUAGUC